rnacentral:rRNA from 1 species
ACGCACGCUGGCGGCGUGCUUAACACAUGCCAGUCGAACGGAAAGGCCCUGCUUUUGUGGGGUGCUCGAGUGGCGAACGGGUGAGUAACACGUGAGUAACCUGCCCUUGACUUUGGGAUAACUUCAGGAAACUGGGGCUAAUACCGGAUAGGAGCUCCUGCUGCAUGGUGGGGGUUGGAAAGUUUCGGCGGUUGGGGAUGGACUCGCGGCUUAUCAGCUUGUUGGUGGGGUAGUGGCUUACCAAGGCUUUGACGGGUAGCCGGCCUGAGAGGGUGACCGGCCACAUUGGGACUGAGAUACGGCCCAGACUCCUACGGGAGGCAGCAGUGGGGAAUAUUGCACAAUGGGCGGAAGCCUGAUGCAGCAACGCCGCGUGCGGGAUGACGGCCUUCGGGUUGUGAACCGCUUUCGCCUGUGACGAAGCGUGAGUGACGGUAAUGGGUAAAGAAGCACCGGCUAACUACGUG